rnacentral:lncRNA from 1 species
GUUCUGAUCACUUACUCCUAUCAUAUAACCUUUCCUUUUAUUUAUGAAGAAUGUCAGUGUGAUUAGAUAGGAACUCUGAAAUUCCUAUUGCUCAGUCUGAGUGUGUGUCCUCUCUUCUAUUCAAAGCAAUGUUGAAAUGUCCCUAUUCUUCAGAACACUUGACCCCACCAUUGUCACCAUUCAUAGACUUCAUAGGUGAAUUUCUAAUAUCUAAUUUCUUCUUUGAAGACUUGUAUGUUUUACCACCCAUUCUUUGGAAACAAUAGUUCACGUAAUGCAGUGAUUCAAGAGACACAGAAAAUUUUAAGGCAGAACAAAGAAGAACUUUCAGUAUUCUAAGGCAGUCAUAGAAGGUUUACAGAUCAUUCCCGUUUCAAGGUUGAUCCUUGCAUUUGUGUUUUCCAGUCUGUGAUGAAUAAUCCUUUUUUGUUCUCUGCCUUCCUCUCCCUCCUGCCUAAGGCUUGAUGUGUUUGCUUUCUAUUGUUGUCAUAAGAAACAAUCACACAUUUAAUAGCUUACAACAACAAACAUCUCAUAGUUUCUGUAAUUCAGAAAUCUGGGUAAGAAUCUGCUUUGAAGCUCACUUGGGCUGUUGGUUUAAGUCAGUGCUCUGUAGGGCUGAGGUUUCCAUUCCCUUGGGAAGGAUUCAGCUGUGGCUUGCCCACAUUAACUCUUACACUUUCCAGUUGAGUCCUUCAAGUAAUGAUGGAAGAGUGCCUCUUAUGCUUUGAAUUUCUGACUUAUCUGCCUCAUUGUUGUGACUCUAGCCUUGAAAAUUCUGUGCUGUUAAGGGCUUGUUGUGAUUUAAUUAGAUCCACCUGAAUCAUCCAAAAGGAAAAAGAACAAUCCCCAUCUUAUGAUGCAUAAUCUUAACAGAGUCCUCAAAGUUCCUGAAACAUAGUAUAUUCGUAAGUUCAGAACAUGGAAAUGUUUGGGGAGGCAUUCUGUGUGCCAUAUUCACCUCAAUAACGUUCACUUAUUCUUUAAGAGAUGACAGCACUGCUAAGUGACC